UCCCUGGUGGCCUAGUGGAUAGGAUUCUGGGCUUUCACUUCUGUGGCUCGGGUUCAAUCCCUGGUCGGGGAA
rfam:TPA: Bos taurus chromosome 13, whole genome shotgun sequence.